GACGAACGCUGGCGGCGUGCUUAACACAUGCAAGUCGAACGGGGUUAAUUCCUUCGGGGAUUAACUUAGUGGCGAACGGGUGAGUAACGCGUGAGGAACCUGCCUUUCAGUGGGGGACAACAGUUGGAAACGACUGCUAAUACCGCAUAAUACAUUUGGGUGGCAUCACUUAAAUGUCAAAGCUUUAUGUGCUGAAAGAUGGCCUCGCGUCUGAUUAGAUAGUUGGUGAGGUAACGGCUCACCAAGUCGACGAUCAGUAGCCGGACUGAGAGGUUGAACGGCCACAUUGGGACUGAGAUACGGCCCAG
rnacentral:rRNA from 1 species